UUGUAAUAUUUGCUUUGUCAAAUAUUUUGUGGUUGAUACUGAUUUCCACUUUGGCUGCUGAAGGACAUUUACUGAGUGUGUUUGGAAGCAAUCCUGUCGGUUUUAUCGUCGUAGUCCUUUUUGGGUUCAUUUUGAUAUUACAAUUUUUGGCAAUGCUUGUGCACCGCUUUUCAACAUUGAAGCACUUUCUGGCGAGAGCACCAUAUUUCCGCAGCAGCGGCAAAAAUGUUAUCUACGACCUUAGCAAGCAACCCGAUGAAGCUAGGCAAAUUGGUUUUGAAAAUCCAAUGUGGAACGUACUAACAGAAGAUUUGGGCCAGUAGCUGUUUAUGAUGUUAAAUGCGACUACAUUUGAGCAACAUUUAAUGACAGUUUACAUUUUUCAUUUUUAGUAUAUUCUGUUACAGAUUCAUUUAAGGAACAAAAGGACCCAUUUCAUAGAGAGAGGUCCUUGUUAGAAAUGAAUGUUUAAUUACUUUUUAUGAAAUUGUGUAAUUACUCCACUUUAAUAACAAAAUGUUUAAAAAGUAAACUAUUGUUUUUGAUUUAAAUGUCAUUUCUUAUUUUACACUUGCAUUUGAGAGACAUUUAGUUCAAGAAACUCAAACCAAAAGACAAGUUUGAAUAAAGUGUGUUGCUACUGAAUUCAUAUAUUUCCAAUCAAUUUUGGUUGUGCAGCCAAUAUAUGUAAAGGGACGUGAUAAUAUUUUACAAAGUUGUAUUUCUAAUGAAUUUCGGCUAAAUACUAUUUAUCAACAUAAAUAUUUGAAAAAAAAAUUAAUACAAUAGUUCUUAAAUUCAUGAUUUCUUAGGUAAGUAUGUUUAUUAAGAUUGUACGAUUGCUAAAAUAACUCUGUAUUAUAGUUUUGCUCCCAGGACAGGAGAGUCAAAUGUAUAACAUACCGCCAGUGACAUUCUAACACGCAUUAAGUCAGUGAAAACAAAUAGGUGUAAAUAAUCAUUUGUUGUUGUUUUUUUCUGGCCAAAUCCAAUAUUUGAUCAAAAUAUGAUUAACCACCAUUUAACUCUAGUUCAUAUAAACGCUAUAUGAUAAGUUUGUUAACACAUUUCAUAAAUUAUUUUGACGAAAGCGCUCCAAAGUGUACAAUACUAAGUAUUUCACCGUUCUGUACAAAAUGUUUGUUCAGAUGGAGGUUCCAUUUAAACUACUCAAUAUUCGCAUUUAAAGUUGAGUCAAUGUUAAUUUAUAGGGGUUGUAAAUCAAAUCUAUGAUGGCUAGCCGAUGAAAAAUUAUUUUGAUAAAUAUUGACCAGUAGACAAUAGCAGAUAAAAUAUCGGUAUACUCAACUAAUUUUGAUUCAAAAGUAAAUGAUAUAUUGAAAAUGAAUGUAAAUUAGUAAGUUGUAGGACAAAAUGUUAAGUUACCAAUAGCUUGUUUUAUAUUGUGCGUGGUAUGUACACUAUGAUUAAUUACGUUGCAAAUCGGACAGAAAAUGAUAAUUUAUACUACCUUGUUACAUUGUUAUUUUAUGUUGAUGUAGCUACUGAAGGUCACACUGACAACUAAGAUAUUUCUUUAGUGGUACUGGCCGGCAUUUUCAUAUAGUUAACUGAUUUUACGGCUUCCUCAUAUUAUGUCAAAUUUGAAUCCUACAACGAUCACAUUAAUAAAUAAACAUUUAACACAUUUAAAAGUAAAUGACACGGUCGGAAGUGAAAAACUAGAAGGGAAACGUUUCAAUAGAUUUUACAUAAUCGUAAACUUUCUUGGUAAUCUUAAUCUUGGAAAUUAUAUUUGUAUGUUUACGUUAAUCAUUAUUUGAAACAUAUUUCUAAUGAAGAUCUAUUCAAUAAAAACUGAUAUCAUG